CCUACGGGGGGCAGCAGUGGGGAAUAUUGCACAAUGGGCGAAAGCCUGAUGCAGCCAUGCCGCGUGUGUGAAGAAGGCUCUAGGGUUGUAAAGCACUUUCAGUGGGGAGGAAAAGCUCAAAAUUAAUACUUUUGAGCCUUGACGUUACCUGCAGAAGAAGCACCGGCAAACUCCGUGCCAGCAGCCGCGGUAAUACGGAGGGUGCGAGCGUUAAUCGGAAUUACUGGGCGUAAAGCGCGCGUAGGUGGUUUGAUAAGCUAGCUGUGAAAGCCCUGGGCUCAACCUGGGAACUGCAGUUAGAACUGUCUGGCUAGAGUAUAGUAGAGGGUGGCGGAAUUUCCUGUGUAGCGGUGAAAUGCGUAGAUAUAGGAAGGAACAUCAGUGGCGAAGGCGGCCACCUGGACUAAUACUGACACUGAGGUGCGAAAGCGUGGGGAGCAAACAGGAUUAGAUACCCCAGUAGUC
rnacentral:rRNA from 1 species